rnacentral:rRNA from 1 species
AAGCCAUGCAUGUCUAAGUAUAAACCAAUUAUGCGGUGCAACUGCGAAUGGCUCAUUAUAUCAGUUAUAAUUUACUUGGAUGGUUUCUUUACUACUUGGAUAACCGUGGUAAUUCUAGUAGCUAAUACAUGCGUUGAGCCCGACUCUCGUGGAAGGGCUGCAUUUAUUAGAUCAAAGCCGAUGCCCUUCGGGGCUCCUGGUGAUUCAUAAUAACUUUGCAGGAUCGCAUGGCCUCGUGCCGGCGACGCUUCAAUCAAAUUUCUGCCCUAUCAACUUUCGAUGGGUAGGAUAGGGGCCUACCAUGGUUUUAACGGGUAACGGGGUAAUUAGGGUUCGAUUCCGGAGAAGGCAGCCUGAGAAAUGGCUACCACUUCCGAAGGAAGGCAGCAGGCGCGCAAAUUGCCCAAUCCCGACAGGGGUAGUAGUGACAAGAAAUAACAAUGCAGGCUCUUUGAGUCUUGCAGUUGGAAUGAGUACAAUUUAAAUCCCUUAACGAGAACAUUGGAGGGCAAUUCUGGUGCCAGCAGCCGCGGUAUUCCAGCUCCAAUAGCGUAUAUAAAGUUGUUGCAGUUAAAAGCUCGUAGUCUACUCAUGACGAGGGGUGGUGGUCCACAUGAUGUGUGGUACUGCUUAUGCCGAGUCACACUUUUGGGGAUGUGUGAAUGGGAACCCCACUACACCGAACCAGUCUUAUUUGAAAAGAUAGAUGUUAAAGCAGCUUUGCUUGAAUACAUUAGCUGGAAUAACAUGAUAGGACUUUGGUUCUAUUUUGUUGUUUUCGGCAAA